AAAACAAAACAAACCUUCCCUGGCAGCUCAAAAGCCUUCCUGUGUCUGUCUGAGGUCUGUAAAGUGUGAGACGUUGACACACGGUAAUGAGGGGAGCACCUGGAUUUGGCCCCUGGGCACGGCUGAUGUGGCUCCUGGCUGACCUAGGAUGAAGGACAGCAAGAUGGGACUGAUGCAGUUGGGUUUCUCCGGUAGUCGCUCCAGCAUGCAUGGCAAGAAACAAGGGGAAAAACAGUAUUGGAGGUCAUCUUGGAGAGCAAGAAAACCAGGAGUGGACAGUGAAAGAGGGCAAAAGCAGAAGAGGCAAUGUAAAUAGUAC